rnacentral:tRNA from 1 species
GCUGCUAUGAUGUGUUGGUUAUCACAUUAGUCUUGCACACUAAAGGUCCCCAGUUUGAUCCUGGGCAGCAAUA